UGGGUAACCUGCCUCAAAGAGGGGAAUAGCCUCCCGAAAGGGAGAUUAAUACCGCAUAAUAUGUUUAAGUCGCAUGACUUUAACAUCAAAGGAUUUUCUUUUAGAAAUUCCACUUUGAGAUGGACCCCGCGGCGCAUUAGCUAGUUGGUGAGGUAACGGCUCACCAAGGCAACGAUGCGUAGCCGACCUGAGAGGGUGAUCGGCCACAUUGGAACUGAGACACGGUCCAGCUCC
rnacentral:rRNA from 1 species